ACAAGUUAUCUUCUUAGAAAAUUGUUUAACCAAGAUGAAAUAGUGGGAGGAAAGUUAAGCUGAAAGAAAGUGUCUCUGAAGAGCAACGAGCUACAGGACCUUAAGAAUCUAUUCAUCAUGAGCCAGUAGACGUAUAUUCUUCCUCCACCUCAUACACAUAGUAGGAUCUCCAAUCCUCUCAAAAGAUAUUCAGGUAUGCUUAAACAGAGGAUGUAGAGAAAGUCAUUUCUCAGUGGGAGAUGGAGAGCAUAGAGAUGAUCUCAGAACCUACAAUGAGGUGAUG
rnacentral:lncRNA from 1 species